GCGAGUAUAGCUCAGUGGUAGAGCACCGGCUUCCCAAGCCGGCUACGGGAGUUCGAUUCUCCUUACUCGCUCCA
rnacentral:tRNA from 1 species